rnacentral:rRNA from 1 species
AACGAACGCUGGCGGCAGGCUUAACACAUGCAAGUCGAACGGCUGUAGCAAUACAGCAGUGGCAGAUGGGUGAGUAACUCGUGGGAACCUUCCUAGGGGUACGGAACAACUCAGGGAAACUUGAGCUAAUACUGUAUACGUCCGAAGGGAGAAAGAUUUAUCGCCCUUAGACGCGCCCCCGUCGGAUUAGUUAGUUGGUGUGGUAACGGCCUACCAAGUCGACGAUCCGUAGCGGUUCUGAGAGGAUGAUCAGACACACUGGGACUGAGACACGGACCAGACUCCUACGGGAGUCAGCAAUGGGGCAUUAUGGACACUGGGCUCAAUCCUGAUCCGGCCAUGCCGCGUGGGUGAUGAAGGCCCUAGGGUUGUAAAGCCCGUUCGGCGGGGAAGAUAAUGGCGGUACCCGCGGAAGAAGCCCCGGCUAACUGCGUGCCAGCCGCCGCCGUAACAC